rnacentral:rRNA from 1 species
GUCGAGCGCGGGAAGCAGGCAGAUCCUCUUCGGAGGUGACGCCUGUGGAACGAGCGGCGGACGGGUGAGUAACACGUGGGCAACCUGCCUGUAAGACUGGGAUAACCCCGGGAAACCGGGGCUAAUACCGGAUAAUACUUUUCGUUGCAUAACGAGAAGUUGAAAGGCGGCUUUUAGCUGUCACUUACAGAUGGGCCCGCGGCGCAUUAGCUAGUUGGUAAGGUAACGGCUUACCAAGGCGACGAUGCGUAGCCGACCUGAGAGGGUGAUCGGCCACACUGGGACUGAGACACGGCCCAGACUCCUACGGGAGGCAGCAGUAGGGAAUCUUCCGCAAUGGACGAAAGUCUGACGGAGCAACGCCGCGUGAGUGAUGAAGGUUUUCGGAUCGUAAAACUCUGUUGUCAGGGAAGAACAAGUGCCGUUCGAAUAGGGCGGCACCUUGACGGUACCUGACCAGAAAGCCCCGGCUAACUACGUGCCAGCAGCCGCGGUAAUACGUAGGGGGCAAGCGUUGUCCGGAAUUAUUGGGCGUAAAGCGCGCGCAGGCGGUCCUUUAAGUCUGAUGUGAAAGCCCACGGCUUAACCGUGGAGGGCCAUUGGAAACUGGAGGACUUGAGUACAGAAGAGGAGAGUGGAAUUCCACGUGUAGCGGUGAAAUGCGUAGAGAUGUGGAGGAACACCAGUGGCGAAGGCGACUCUCUGGUCUGUAACUGACGCUGAGGUGCGAAAGCGUGGGGAGCGAACAGGAUUAGAUACCCUGGUAGUCCACGCCGUAAACGAUGAGUGCUAGGUGUUAGGGGGUUUCCGCCCCUUAGUGCUGAAGUUAACGCAUUAAGCACUCCGCCUGGGGAGUACGGCCGCAAGGCUGAAACUCAAAAGAAUUGACGGGGGCCCGCACAAGCGGUGG